CGCGUGCCUGUAAUCCCAGCUACCAGGGAGGUUGAGGCAGGAGAAUCGUUUGAACCCAGGAGGCAGAGUUUGCAGUGAGCUGAGAUCGCACCACUGCACUCCACCCUGGAUGACAGUGAGACUCCAUCUCAAAAAAACAACAAAAAAGAGAGGCCCCAGAGAGCUGCCUUGCCCCUUCCAUCCUGUGAGGACACAGUGAGAAGGCGCCGUCUAUGAACCAGGAAGCUGGCCCUCACCAGACACUCAAUCUGCCGGUGUUCCAACUCUGGACUUCCCAGCCUGCAGAGCUAUUCCAGUAUCACCGCAGAGCCUGAAGGAAUCAAUACAAGGUCCAUCUUCCAGGUCUGAAAAAGCAAUCCAACCCCAAUUGAAUGAUGGACAGUUUAACUGCUGCUGCUGCGAUCAAGGGGCUGAGGGACAGAGACGGCCAGGAAACAAUGCUGAAGAAAGAUCUUUUGAGUAACAUGUAAGUCUUUUGCAGCAGCACCCAUCUUAAGGGUGUCUUCUUUGCCUUCCCAAAGUCAAAGGGGUCUAGAAAAAACCUUUUCAUUACUUACCAUGGGGACAGCCCUUUACAGACAUUUUUUGCAGAAGACAUUUUUAGGAGAGAAGAGUCCCACCAACGGCAUCUUGGCACUCUAUGGACGGUGACAGUGGCAAGCCAAUAGCAGAACGAACACCUGGGAUCAAAGAACUGUCAAGAACGAAGUCCACAUGGGAACAGCCUAAAGCCCCAUGUAACACAGAGGCUGAGUUCUGAGAAACUGAGAACCUUCCUGGCAAUCACAAGGUGGCCCGAGGAAGCAACUGGUCAAGAGAGACCCAUUCCAGAGAUGAAGAGCAAUCAGGAAGUAAAAUUAGGGCUGAGAACGGGGACCCUAAAGGCUGGAGUCCUAGACGUGUAUGAAUCAAUCACACCACUUGGCCAGCCGUGCAUCCCAGGGCAAGCGACAGUCCUCCUCUGCACAACGGCAUCCUCACCUUGCAUCUUUAGUUCCACGCUCAGCCAUUCAUGGGCUGAUUCUACAGAACCUAGUGUGCCUCAGGGCCCCACAACCAGCUCACAGUGCACCACAGGAGAGUUGAGAGCAGGAGCCUGCAAACUUUUUAUAGAAAAGGUCAGAUAAUAAAUAUUUUAGGCUUUGCAGGCCUCUCAGUCUCUGUCACAAUUACUGAAUUCCACCGGGGUCAGGUGAAAGCAGCCAUAGGUAAUAUGCACAACAGUGGUUCUCAAGCAGGGGUGGUUUUGCCCUGCAGAGGACAUCUGGCCAUAUCUGGAAGCAUUUUGGGUUGUCACAACUAGAAAUGUGAACUAGUUUGCUAGGGUUCUCCUAACCAAGUACCACAGACUAGGUGGCUUAAACAAUCAGAAUUUAUUGUCUCACAGUUCUGGAGGCUGUAAGUCUGAGAUCAAGGUGUUGGCAGGGGUGGUUCUUUCUGAGAUGUGAUGGAGAAUCUGUUCCUUGCCUCUCCCCCAGCUUCUGGCAAUCUUCUGGCAUUUGCUGGCAAUCUUCAGCACUCCUUGGCUUGUGGAUACAUCACCCUGAUCUCUACCUUCAUCUCUCUUCACAGUGUGCUGACCUGUCUGUGUGUCUACCUUUCCCUUUUUUUUUUAGACGGAGUCUCGCUCUGUCAC
rnacentral:lncRNA from 10 species